rnacentral:rRNA from 1 species
GAUGAACGCUAGCGGCAGGCCUAACACAUGCAAGUCGAGGGAGAGGUUAUCUUCGGGUAACCAAAACCGGCGCACGGGUGCGUAACGCGUAUACAAUCUGCCUUUCACAUAGGGAUAGCCCGAAGAAAUUUGGAUUAAUACCUAAUGGUAUAUAGGAGCGGCAUCGUUUUUAUAUUAAAGCUACGGUGGUGAAAGAUGAGUAUGCGUUCUAUUAGCUAGUUGGAGAGGUAACGGCUCCCCAAGGCGACGAUAGAUAGGGGUUCUGAGAGGGAUGUCCCCCACACUGGUACUGAGAUACGGACCAGACUCCUACGGGAGGCAGCAGUGAGGAAUAUUGGACAAUGGUCGGAAGACUGAUCCAGCCAUGCCGCGUGCAGGAUGAAGGUCCUAUGGAUUGUAAACUGCUUUUGUAAGGGAAGAAUAAGGAGUACGUGUACUUUGAUGACGGUACCUUACGAAUAAGCAUCGGCUAACUCCGUGCCAGCAGCCGCGGUAAUACGGAGGACGCGAGCGUUAUCCGGAAUCAUUGGGUUUAAAGGGUCCGUAGGCGGGCUGAUAAGUCAGAGGUGAAAGCGCUUAGCUCAACUAAGCAACUGCCUUUGAAACUGUCAGUCUUGAAUGAUUGUGAAGUAGUUGGAAUGUGUAGUGUAGCGGUGAAAUGCUUAGAUAUUACACAGAACACCGAUAGCGAAGGCAUAUUACUAACAAUUUAUUGACGCUGAUGGACGAAAGCGUGGGGAGCGAACAGG